rnacentral:rRNA from 3 species
GCCAAUCAAACUCGGAGAUAGCUGGUUCUCCCCGAAAGCUAUUUAGGUAGCGCCUCGGACGAAUACUACUGGGGGUAGAGCACUGUUUGGGCUAGGGGGUCAUCCCGACUUACCAACCCCAUGCAAACUCCGAAUACCAGUAAGUACUAUCCGGGAGACACACGGCGGGUGCUAACGUCCGUCGUGAAGAGGGAAACAACCCAGACCGCCGGCUAAGGUCCCAAAGUUCUGGUUAAGUGGGAAACGAUGUGGGAAGGCUCAGACAGCUAGGAUGUUGGCUUAGAAGCAGCCAU